rnacentral:rRNA from 1 species
GAUGAACGCUGGCGGCGUGCCUAAUACAUGCAAGUCGAGCGAACGGACGAGAAGCUUGCUUUUCUGAUGUUAGCGGCGGACGGGUGAGUAACACGUGGAUAACCUACCUAUAAGACUGGGAUAACUUCGGGAAACCGGAGCUAAUACCGGAUAAUAUUUUGAACCGCAUGGUUCAAAAGUGAAAGACGGUCUUGCUGUCACUUAUAGAUGGAUCCGCGCUGCAUUAGCUAGUUGGUAAGGUAACGGCUUACCAAGGCAACGAUGCAUAGCCGACCUGAGAGGGUGAUCGGCCACACUGGAACUGAGACACGGUCCAGACUCCUACGGGAGGCAGCAGUAGGGAAUCUUCCGCAAUGGGCGAAAGCCUGACGGAGCAACGCCGCGUGGGUGAUGAAGGUCUUCGGAUCGUAAAACUCUGUUAUUAGGGAAGAACAUAUGUGUAAGUAACUGUGCACAUCUUGACGGUACCUAAUCAGAAAGCCACGGCUAACUACGUGCCAGCAGCCGCGGUAAUACGUAGGUGGCAAGCGUUAUCCGGAAUUAUUGGGCGUAAAGCGCGCGUAGGCGGUUUUUUAAGUCUGAUGUGAAAGCCCACGGCUCAACCGUGGAGGGUCAUUGGAAACUGGAAAACUUGAGUGCAGAAGAGGAAAGUGGAAUUCCAUGUGUAGCGGUGAAAUGCGCAGAGAUGUGGAGGAACACCAGUGGCGAAGGCGACUUUCUGGUCUGUAACUGACGCUGAUGUGCGAAAGCGUGGGGAUCAAACAGGAUUAGAUACCCUGGUAGUCCACGCCGUAAACGAUGAGUGCUAAGUGUUAGGGGGUUUCCGCCCCUUAGUGCUGCAGCUAACGCAUUAAGCACUCCGCCUGGGGAGUACGACCGCAAGGUUGAAACUCAAAGGAAUUGACGGGGGCCCGCACAAGCGGUGGAGCAUGUGGUUUAAUUCGAAGCAACGCGAAGAACCUUACCAAAUCUUGACAUCCUUUGACAACUCUAGAGAUAGAGCCUUCCCCUUCGGGGGACAAAGUGACAGGUGGUGCAUGGUUGUCGUCAGCUCGUGUCGUGAGAUGUUGGGUUAAGUCCCGCAACGAGCGCAACCCUUAAGCUUAGUUGCCAUCAUUAAGUUGGGCACUCUAAGUUGACUGCCGGUGACAAACCGGAGGAAGGUGGGGAUGACGUCAAAUCAUCAUGCCCCUUAUGAUUUGGGCUACACACGUGCUACAAUGGACAAUACAAAGGGCAGCGAAACCGCGAGGUCAAGCAAAUCCCAUAAAGUUGUUCUCAGUUCGGAUUGUAGUCUGCAACUCGACUACAUGAAGCUGGAAUCGCUAGUAAUCGUAGAUCAGCAUGCUACGGUGAAUACGUUCCCGGGUCU